rnacentral:rRNA from 1 species
UACGGAGGGGGCGAGCGUUAUUCGGAAUUAUUGGGCGUAAAGGGCGCGUAGGCGGCCCGGUAAGUCAAAGGUGAAAUCCCUCGGCUCAACUGAGGAACUGCCUUUGAAACUGUCGGGCUUGAGGCCGGGAGGGGGUAGCGGAAUUCCCAGUGUAGCGGUGAAAUGCGUAGAUAUCGGGAGGAACACCAAUGGCGAAGGCAGCUCGCUGGGACGGUACUGACGCUGAGACGCGAAAGCGUGGGGAGCAAACAGG